rnacentral:rRNA from 1 species
UACGAAGGGGGCGAGCGUUGUUCGGAUUUACUGGGCGUAAAGGGCGCGUAGGCGGCUUUCUAAGUCGGGGGUGAAAUCCUGGAGCUCAACUCCAGAACUGCCUUCGAUACUGGAGAGCUUGAGUCCGGGAGAGGUGAGUGGAACUGCGAGUGUAGAGGUGAAAUUCGUAGAUAUUCGCAAGAACACCAGUGGCGAAGGCGGCUCACUGGCCCGGUACUGACGCUGAGGUGCGAAAGCGUGGGGAGCAAACAGG